UACAUGUGGGGCAAGCGUUGUUCGGAAUUACUGGGCAUAAAGGGUGCGUAGGCGGCUUGUUAAGUCAGGGGUGAAAGUUUUCGGCCCAACCGGAAAAUUGCCUUUGAUACUGGCGAGCUCGAGUGCGUGAGGGGUAACCGGAACGAGCAGUGUAGCGGUGAAAUGCGUAGAUAUUGCUCGGAAGGCCAACGGCGAAGGCAGGUUACUGGUACGCAACUGACGCUGAGGCACGAAAGCCAGGGGAGCAAACGGG
rnacentral:rRNA from 1 species